GAAGAAGGAAGGUGUGACUGUUAGUUGUGGAGGAAGAUCCGGUUUUGGCAGAAGCAGGUUGAGCUAUGAAGAUGACUCAGCAGUUAAAAGAUUAAUUGAGGAGGAUAUUAUUAAAGCAUGUCACUGCUGAAAAUGGGAGUGAGUGGGUGGGUGGGUGACUUUAUCUCUAGACUCAACAUCCUCUACUCAUCUUUCUCCUCGCAAGGAAUCGACAUGUGCAUCCUCUCUCGCCUGAAUCAUGCAGAAAGCGUUCACAUGAACAAGCAGUGAUCUUUCUCCACCACCUGAUUAGUUAGUGGCAAAGACAUGAUUGGAAUUGAAUUUUGAAUCAAGGAGGAUGAACCGUUGAGGUUGAUAAUUCAAAAGCAGAUUAAGCCUUAUAGGACUCUGUUACUAUGCUUUAGCUAUAGGCAUGAUCAGGUUUCAAGUUUUAUAUUUUACUACUUCUUUCUAAGUUUCUAGGAUCACAUUCAUUUAUCUUUCCUGUUUCUGUUAGGAUUUUUUUUUAUAUAUGUCUUCCAUGCAGUAGCGGCCCUGAAGGGAAGCGGCAGAAGCAUUGGCGUCCGGCCCUAGGAGUUAUCAGAAAUUUUUCGGCCUUAUAUUUCGUUAAGUAUCAGAGGUGUAGUGGUUGAGAGUCGGCCCUGAUUGUUUUACACCCGGGUUCAAAACCCCACUUAUGCAAAAAAAAAAUUCUGGUUAUUUUUGAAAAUUUAUUUGUUUAAGGAAUAUUUCUUUUAUGCUUGUCUGUAAAUAAUGAAAUCAUAUAUUUUUAUUUGGUAAUUAAUUAAUAAAGAGUAAUUAUCUAUUAUUAAAGUAACUAAAAGA